rnacentral:rRNA from 1 species
AGUCGAGGGGUAUAGUUCUUCGGAAUAGAGACCGGCGCACGGGUGCGUAACGCGUAUGCAAUCUACCUUUCACAGAGGGAUAGCCCAGAGAAAUUUGGAUUAAUACCUCAUAGUAUAUGGACUUGGCAUCAAGAUCAUAUUAAAGUCACAACGGUGAAAGAUGAGCAUGCGUCCCAUUAGCUAGUUGGUAAGGUAACGGCUUACCAAGGCAACGAUGGGUAGGGGUCCUGAGAGGGAGAUCCCCCACACUGGUACUGAGACACGGACCAGACUCCUACGGGAGGCAGCAGUGAGGAAUAUUGGUCAAUGGGCGCAAGCCUGAACCAGCCAUGCCGCGUGCAGGAUGACGGUCCUAUGGAUUGUAAACUGCUUUUGUACGGGAAGAAACAGCGAUUCGUGAAUCGCCUUGACGGUACCGUAAGAAUAAGGAUCGGCUAACUCCGUGCCAGCAGCCGCGGUAAUACGGAGGAUCCAAGCGUUAUCCGGAAUCAUUGGGUUUAAAGGGUCCGUAGGCGGUUUGGUAAGUCAGUGGUGAAAGCCCAUCGCUCAACGGUGGAACGGCCAUUGAUACUGCCAGACUUGAAUUAUUAGGAAGUAACUAGAAUAUGUAGUGUAGCGGUGAAAUGCUUAGAGAUUACAUGGAAUACCAAUUGCGAAGGCAGGUUACUACUAAUGGAUUGACGCUGAUGGACGAAAGCGUGGGUAGCGAACAGGAUUAGAUACCCUGGUAGUCCACGCCGUAAACGAUGGAUACUAGCUGUUGGGAGCGAUCUCAGUGGCUAAGCGAAAGUGAUAAGUAUCCCACCUGGGGAGUACGUUUCGCAGAAUGAAACUCAAAGGAAUUGACGGGGGCCCGCCAAGCGGUGGAGCAUGUGGUUUAAUUCGAUGAUACGCGAGGAACCUUACCAGGCUUAAUGUAGACUGACCGAUUUGGA